GUGCUUGCACUGGCAGCACACAUAGUAAAACUGGGAUGAUUCAGAGAAGGCCAGCAUGGCCCCUGCACAAGGAUGAAAUGCCAACCAUGAAGGGCUCCAUAUUUAA